rnacentral:rRNA from 1 species
UACGAAGGGGGGCUAGCGUUGUUCGGAAUUACUGGGCGUAAAGCGUGCGCAGGCGGUUGUGCAAGACCGAUGUGAAAUCCCCGGGCUUAACCUGGGAAUGGCAUUGGUGACUGCACGGCUAGAGUGUGUCAGAGGGGGGGUAGAAUUCCACGUGUAGCAGUGAAAUGCGUAGAGAUGUGGAGGAAUACCGAUGGCGAAGGCAGCCCC